CAGCUCGUGCGGCGUGGACUUGAAACUCCCGGCGAUCGGGGCGCCGAACAGCUUGGCGUGCGAGGCGCUGUCGAACUGGCC
rnacentral:tRNA from 1 species